rnacentral:rRNA from 1 species
GAUGAACGCUGGCGGCGUGCCUAAUACAUGCAAGUCGAGCGAACAGACGAGGAGCUUGCUCCUCUGACGUUAGCGGCGGACGGGUGAGUAACACGUGGAUAACCUACCUAUAAGACUGGGAUAACUUCGGGAAACCGGAGCUAAUACCGGAUAAUAUAUUGAACCGCAUGGUUCAAUAGUGAAAGACGGUUUUGCUGUCACUUAUAGAUGGAUCCGCGCCGCAUUAGCUAGUUGGUAAGGUAACGGCUUACCAAGGCAACGAUGCGUAGCCGACCUGAGAGGGUGGUCGGCCACACUGGAGCUGAGACACGGUCCAGACUCCUACGGGAGGCAGCAGUAGGGAAUCUUCCGCAAUGGGCGAAAGCCUGACGGAGCAACGCCGCGUGAGUGAUGAAGGUCUUCGGAUCGUAAAACUCUGUUAUUAGGGAAGAACAAAUGUGUAAGUAACUAUGCACGUCUUGACGGUACCUAAUCAGAAAGCCACGGCUAACUACGUG